UUAGGACCGUGGUGGAACUACAUGGACCGUGGUGGAACUACAACCAUGCCCUAUGAAAGUAAUAAUGUUAGUCUGACAAAUAAGGUAUAUCGUGGAUAAGAAAUAAAAGUCUAAUUCUAUUUGAACUUCUUAAUGUUAGGUUAAUUAUACUUACAAUAUAUAUUCUUUAAAAGAUAAGGAUAUAGUGUAUAAUAUGAGUUGUAAAUAGAAUAUAUUAAUUAAUGGGGGAGAAGGAGAAGGAUAAUAUGUAAUAGUUUGUGAGUGUUGGUGGUGGUGGCUUGAGAAACUGAAAAAUGUUGGCAUCAUAUGACUCAUGACCACUUCAAUUGUAUUAUGCAAUCACCAUAACUUUAUCUUCUUUAAUCCCAAACUCCUUUGGGACUCUUCUUAUCCUUCUUCUUCUUCUUUUUCUUCUUCUUCAUCCAAUUUUAUGUUUGGAGGCACCAAAACCAGUACUAGGCGUCUUCUUCUUAAUAAUAAAUUCAUUUCUAAAGCCGAAAAACAUUCAAGCAGUAGUAGUUGGUGGAAUAACUUUUUCUUCCAAGACGAUGGGAAUUGGUUUGGUUUGAAGGAAGAUGAUAUGUUGGAGAUGGAGGUGGAGAAAGGUGAGACUGAGUUAUCUGAAGAAAACAAAUUUGAAGCAUGGAAGCAGAGAGCUGAAGCAAUUAUAGAGUUGAGGGAAGCUCAACAAGAUAAUAUGAACCAGGAUUCCAGGAAAUGGGAAGAUUGGCUGCUUUUGGAUUCUGGUUCUGAUUCUGAUUCUGAUUCUGAUUCUUGGAUGAAGGAUUAUUAUAAUGACAACAAGGUGCCACCUGAUUAUGAUUAUAGGGAUGAAGAAAGGGGUUUGGUAAAGUCUAUUAGGUCAUUCAUUUAUGGAGGUCAACAACAAGAUGAAGACAUGCUUUAUGAAGACCGUGUUUUUCAAUAUGCCUCUUCAAAUUCAGUAAAUGCACCAUUCUUUCUCAACAACUAGAUUCUUUGUUACACAUCUAUUUUAAUAUGUUCCACUUGUUAUCUAUUACAGGCUAAGUUUUUGGCAGUGUUGAUUAUUAUUCCUUGGGCGUUGGACUUUCUGGUUCAUGACUAUAUACUCAUGCCUUUUUUAGACAGGUAAUCAACCGAGCCUAUCAUUGUUACAGUCAAACCAUGAUACUUUGAACUUGUACUUGAGUUAGUCAUUAACAUGAUACUAGAAUUGACUGAUUAUGAAUUUUAUCCUUGCUGCCUUCAUUAGUUCAUUCAUUAUUAAAUUAAAUUUUAGAACACGUUAAACUGGACUUAUGCGUUGUUCAAAUUUUCAAGCUCAAGAGAUCUUCACUCUUGCAUGAUGAGCAUGUUAGAGAUGUAAAUCCAUCUGUGAGAUUCCAUUUAACACCUUAAGCUUUUGGACGAUUGAUAUAACAAUAAGAAUCAUAGUGCCAGUAUUAAUGCCUAGUGAUAUUAUAUACGACAUAAGCUUAUUUAUUUUAGAUUAGAAGAAAACUUGACCUUUAUCAUUCUUUCUCUUUGCAAUCUUUCCUCUUUGGUUAAAAAAAUGUUCACUUUGUUAAUUUUGUACUUGUCUGUUACUUUGAACUUCUUGAAUUGAAAAUUUUCUUAUAACUAGUGUAGUAACUUCAUAAUAUCCACAGAUAUGUGAAGACUGUACCACUUGCAGCCCAAGUCCUUGAUGUGAGAAGAUAUCAAAAACUUCAAAUAGUUGAGGAAUUAAGAACUGAGAGAAAACGGUUCGAGUUUGAGGUGGAGAUUGGUAAAUCUCCUCCUCUUUCUGAUGAUGAUAUCUGGUGGGAAUUAAGGCAUAAAGCGUAAGAUCAACCCUUCUUUCUUUUGCCUGAUCAUGUUUAAUGGUGCUAUUUCUUUUCCCUACACUGUUUAAUACCGCAGCUUUAACCAGAAUAUGAGCAUCAAAUUGAACUAUAAAUUAUUGUAGUCCCAAAAUCCAAUCAUGCUGAAAAUUGUGCACUCUUCCCAUCCUUUAAUGUAGGCCCUCAUUGAUCUUCAUUAAAUCUGCUUCUUAUUCAUUUCCUGAAUUCUGGGUUACAAAAUACCUUGUGAAUUGAUGAAGGUUUUGAACAAAAAGACCUGGACUUGUUGGUUUUUUGUUAUGGUCUUUUACAAGAGUAAUUAUUUAAGGUGACCUUGUCAACCUUUGAUUGCUGCAUUACAGCUGUUUUUAUUGCCCUUCUAUUUGUUGCUCCAACAGAUUGGAUUUGAGAGAUGAGUGGAGACUAGAGAAUCGCCGAGCAUUUGCCAACAUUUGGUCAGAUGCGGUUUAUGGAAUCUCUUUAUUUGUUCUUUUAUACUUCAACAAGAGCCAAGUAAGUUUACCAUUUUUUUUCCAGCUAUAUAUUUUGAUGCUUUACUGGUUUUCUUGGACUUGUUAUCUAUCAGAAAUAUCACACUGUUACUUUGUAUUAUGUGACUAUCAAUUAUGGUGAAUAACUAACACACACCAAUUUUUUUAUUUAUUUUUUAUCUUUUAAGAGAAUAGCUCCAUUAGAGAAAUAAGUGUUUAGAAGUGAAAGAAGGUCAAGGGAAUAAUUUACUUAUCAUUAAUUCCACAACUUUGAUAGAUAUAGUUAUUUUUGGAGAUUAUACUAGAGGAAUGGUUUGUCGAUUACUAUCAUUUGUCGGUUAUUGUCAUUGCCCACCACGAGCAACAGCCUCUAGCAAUAAAGCACUUAGAAGCAGAUAAGGCAUCAUAUGAAUCAAAUGAGAUAAUAAGAUAGGAGCAAGAUCAUUUACCUUUCCAGAGGGCAAUUAGGGUGUCGAGAGAAUGGAUCUGGAGAAUUGGGGGUUAGGAUGUUGAGGUGAAGUGGCAGGUGGAGGUGGUCUGAAACUCACAGAACCACAACAUGCUAUUGCAUCUGUGAAUGUAACAGUGGUUUAAGGCAGUCAACUAGGUCUUUGAAGUUGAAAUAGUUUGGUGCACAUGAUACAUUAGUUGGAAGGAAUGAUAUGUGAUGGAAGGAGAAGUGCAAGUUAAAAGAAGCUAACUGUUGAAAUCAAACAAGAGAGAAACAACUUUACCCUUUUGUGUUUGGAACUACCUUAUGAAUUUACAUUUAAGAGACUGGAGGCCACAGCUG
rnacentral:lncRNA from 1 species